AGUGAGUUAGUAGUUUGCUGAAUCACUGAAGGGUGUAAUGAUUUACACCAGCAUGCUUGCCAUGUGGGAUCCUUCAGUCAGAGGAACACUCACUUUUUU
rnacentral:ncRNA from 1 species